CAGCCGCCGCGGCAAUACGUAGGGUGCGAGCGUUAAUCGGAUUUACUGGGCGUAAAGCGUGCGCAGGCGGCCCGUUAAGACAGGUGUGAAAUCCCUGGGCUCAACCUAGGAAUUGCGCUUGUGACUGGCGGGCUCGAGUACGGUAGAGGGGGGUGGAAUUCCUGGUGUAGCAGUGAAAUGCGUAGAGAUCAGGAGGAACACCGAUGGCGAAGGCAGCCCCCUGGGCCUGUACUGACGCUCAUGCACGAAAGCGUGGGGAGCAAACAGGAUUAGAUACCCUGGUAGUCAACGCCCUAAACGAUGGGUACUAGCCGUUUGGUGCGCGAUAGCGCUGAGUGGCGAAGCUAACGCGUGAAGUACCCCGCCUGGGGAGUACGGCCGCAAGGUUGAAACUUAAAGGAAUUGGCGGG
rnacentral:rRNA from 1 species